GAUGGAGUCUCUCUCUGCUGCCAGGCUGGAGUGCAGUGGCGCGAUCUCAGCUCACUGCAACCUCUGCCUCCCGGGUUCAAGAGAUUCUGCUGCCUCAGCCUCCCGAGUAGCUGGGACUACAGGGAUGAGUGGCUGAUGCCAGAGCCCCAGCUGUUGCUUCCCAGUCUGCUGGUGAAUCCUUCAGGGUCUGAGAAUAACCUGUCUGCUAGUAAUCAGUACCCGCGUCAUCAUGUCUGAGGCUGAGAGUGAGUUCAUCAUCUGGGUAGCCACCAGUGCAACAGAAGCCAGAUGCAGUCAGCGCUUUCUACGGGUCGAGUUGCCAGAGGUCACCAGGAAUGGGCUACUUUGGAGAACUGGCCCUACUAACAUUGCUGAAUGGAUAUGCUGAUAUCAGUGGGGGUGGGAUAAUAACAUUUGUAAUACAACCUAGACCUCUUUGAAUCAAACCAAACAGUCUAUUUUGCCCAAGCCCAAAUGAGACACAGCACCUUUGUUUUUUUUGUUUGUUCGUUUUUGAGAUGGAGUUUUGCUCUUGUUGCCCAGGCUGGAGUGCAGUGGCACACUCUUGGCUCACUACAACCUCCGCCUCCCAGGUUCAAACCAUUCUCCUGCCUCAGCCUCCUGAGUAGCGGGAUUACAGGCACGCACCACCAUGCCCUGCUAAUUUUGUAUUUUUAGUAGAGAUGGGGUUUUGCCAUGUUGGACAGGCUGGUUUCAAACUGCUGACCUCAAGUGAUCCACCCACCCUGGCCUCCCAAAGUGUUGGGAUUACAGGAGCCAGCGACCACGCCUGGCCCACAGCACCUUUGUUACUUAAAUUACACAUUACAGCAAUACAAUUAUAGAACUCUUCCUGUUCCCUGGGGGGGCUCUCUGGGUAUGCAGAUCCUACGGGUGGCGAUACCUGCCAUCUCUUGGACAGGGAGAUGCACCUGGGGGUGCCAUUAAUUCCAUUUGCCAUCCGGGAUAAUAUUCCCCUCCCCAGUAAUGUAGAUGCCUGCAAACAUCGCUGCUUACAAAUGCGCCGGCCUCCCCGGUGGUGGUACUCUAUCAUAGUAUUCUCCGCUUCUGCUGGUACAAUCCUGCUUCAGCAACAAAUUAUAAUAUUAAGCUUACAUGUAGAAAAAGCUCUUAAUGAUAGUAGCACUGGACUUAUGUUGUCAUCAGAAGAAUUUGCUCAGCUGCGUACGGUGCACAUUCGAAUGGCAUUAGAUAUGCUUAUCGCAGCCCAAGGAGGGGUUUGCGCCUUACUGCAUACUGAAUGUUGUGUAAAUAUCCCUGACAAUUCUCACAAUAUUACAGUCCUUGCCCAAGACAUGCAAAAACAAGCAAAAGUUGAAAUCCAACCAUCAGGGCCCCAUCAUGGACUGGCUAUCCAGCUCCAUUGGUGUUGGCCAUGGUGGGUGUGGUUUUUAUUAAUUGUGCAUUUAAUUCUCCUGUGCUACCCUGUAUUUGUAAUCUAUAUCAACUGUGCCUUCCCCAUGUAUCUGUAAGGGUAUUUUCCUACAAUUGAGUAUCAAAUUGAGGCUGAAUGUGGAGGAAAAUUUAAAAAUUUGCCGGGCACGGUGGCUCACGCCUAUAAUCCCAGCACUUUGGGAGGCCGAGGCGGCUGGAUCACGAGGUCAAGAGAUUGAGACCAUCCUGGUCAACAUGGUGAAACCCCGUCUCUACUAAAAAUACAAAAAUUAGCUGGGCAUGGUGGCGCGUGCCUGUAAUCCCAGCUACUCAGGAGGCUGAGGCAGGAGAAUUGCUUGAACCGAGGAGGCGGAGGUUGCAGUGAGCCGAGAUUGCGCCAUUGCACUCCAGCCUGGGCAACAAGAGUGAAACUGUGACUCAAAAAAAAAAAAAAAAAAAAGAAAAAAAAAUUUAAAUAUUAAAUUUGAACUCAGUUGAACAUGGACACAAACAAUGGUCACCAAGUCCCAGAACAGGUUGUGUGAGCCCCUCGAGGCGUUCGUCCAGCACUGCUUUGGAGAAAUCUCCAUUUCAAUCUAUUCCUAUAUAUUAGUUAUUGAAACACAAUAGACAAUCGCAACAACAUGUUGACCUUUUGGUGUUCCUUUAGCCCAGCUGAGAAGGGCUGUCAUGACUGGGCCUCAUGCCAAUCAACUCGUUGCAGAAAAAGCUAGGCUCCCACAGCAUGCUGAAGCUUCCUGAGCCCUCUCCUGGUCUGUGCAGAGUGGCGGACUCUGGAGCCCCAACUGUUGCUUCCCAGGCUGGUUGUGGAUCCUCCAGAGCCUGACAGAAGACGAGGAGAGCAAGCAGGAGCAACCCUCCCAGGACGCUGCCUAUGAGGAUCCACAGGGAGAUGAGGAGAGGCUGGGUCUGAACCACCUCCAGGAGGCUCUGAAUGGG